CGGAGCGUAGCGCAGCCUGGCUAGCGCACUUGAAUGGGGUUCAAGAGGUCCUGGGUUCAAGUCCCAGCGCUCCGA
rnacentral:tRNA from 1 species